rnacentral:ncRNA from 1 species
CAUCUUCAGGGCAGGGUGAGAUUCCCGACCGGCGGUAAAGUCCGCGAGCGCUUAAGCGUAUGAUUUGGUGAAAUUCCAAAACCGACAGUAAAGUCUGGAUGAGAGAAGAGA